CUUAAUGGUGUCUCUACAAUGAAUUUCGAAUUUGAUCUAAUCAAAUUCGAUUCUAUAGGUUCACUAGAUUGUGUCAGUUCUUUUACCUAUUGAACUUCAUAAGUUCUACACUAAAGGUAUCAGUACUUUCACCAAGGUACUCUUUUUCUGAAAGAAAUGUCGAAUAACUUUUAUUCUUUAGCAAGGUUGAAAUUAUAUCUCUUAGAUUCUUUGAGGUUACCUUACAAAAUAAUAUAUAUAGGACCA
rnacentral:lncRNA from 1 species